rnacentral:rRNA from 1 species
AGUGAACGCUGGCGGCGUGCCUAAUACAUGCAAGUCGAACGGAGUGGCGCACGGGUGAGUAAUAUAUAGCUAAUCUGCCCCUUGCUGGAGGACAACAGUUAGAAAUGACUGCUAAUACUCCAUAGCAAGGGAUGGGACUAUAUCGUAUCAGCCAGUCGGUGGGGUAACGGCCUACCGAGGCUAUGACGCGUAACUGGUCUGAGAGGAUGAUCAGUCACAUCGUAACUGAGACACGGUUCAAACUCCUUCGGUAGGCAGCAGUAGGGAAUACUGCGCAAUGGGGGAAACCCUGACGAAGCAACGCCGAGUGGAGGAUGACAGUUUUCGGAGAGUAAACUCCUUUUGUUAGGGAAGCGGUACCUAACGAAUAAGCACCGGCUAACUCCGUGCCAGCCGCCGCGGUAAUAC